AGUGAACGCUGGCGGUAGGCCUAACACAUGCGAGUCGAACGGCAGCACAGUAAGAGCUUGCUCUUACGGGUGGCGAGUGGCGGACGGGUGAGGAAUACAUCGGAAUCUACUUUUUCGUGGGGGAUAACGUAGGGAAACUUACGCUAAUACCGCAUACGACCUACGGGUGAAAGCAGGGGAUCUUCGGACCUUGCGCGAUUGAAUGAGCCGAUGUCAGAUUAGCUAGUUGGCGGGGUAAAGGCCCACCAAGGCGACGAUCCGUAGCUGGUCUGAGAGGAUGAUCAGCCACACUGGAACUGAGACACGGUCCAGACUCCUACGGGAGGCAGCAGUGGGGAAUAUUGGACAAUGGGCGCAAGCCUGAUCCAGCCAUACCGCGUGGGUGAAGAAGGCCUUCGGGUUGUAAAGCCCUUUUGUUGGGAAAGAAAAGCAGCAGGUUAAUACCCCGCUGUUCUGACGGUACCCAAAGAAUAAGCACCGGCUAACUUCGUG
rnacentral:rRNA from 1 species